ACGCUGUCGGCGUGCUUAACACAUGCAAGUCGAACGGAAAGGCCCUGCUUUUGUGGGGUGCUCGAGUGGCGAACGGGUGAGUAACACGUGAGUAACCUGCCCUUGACUUUGGGAUAACUUCAGGAAACUGGGGCUAAUACCGGAUAGGAGCUCCUGCUGCAUGGUGGGGGUUGGAAAGUUUCGGCGGUUGGGGAUGGACUCGCGGCUUAUCAGCUUGUUGGUGGGGUAGUGGCUUACCAAGGCUUUGACGGGUAGCCGGCCUGAGAGGGUGACCGGCCACAUUGGGACUGAGAUACGGCCCAGACUCCUACGGGAGGCAGCAGUGGGGAAUAUUGCACAAUGGGCGGAAGCUUGAUGCAGCAACGCCGCGUGCGGGAUGACGGCCUUCGGGUUGUAAACCGCUUUCGCCUGUGACGAAGCGUGAGUGACGGUAAUGGGUAAAGAAGCACCGGCUAACUACGUGCCAGCAGCCGCGGUGAUACGUAGGGUGCGAGCGUUGUCCGGAUUUAUUGGGCGUAAAGGGCUCGUAGGUGGUUGAUCGCGUCGGAAGUGUAAUCUUGGGGCUUAACCCUGAGCGUGCUUUCGAUACGGGUUGACUUGAGGAAGGUAGGGGAGAAUGGAAUUCCUGGUGGAGCGGUGGAAUGCGCAGAUAUCAGGAGGAACACCAGUGGCGAAGGCGGUUCUCUGGGCCUUUCCUGACGCUGAGGAGCGAAAGCGUGGGGAGCGAACAGGCUUAGAUACCCUGGUAGUCCACGCUGUAAACGGUGGGUACUAGGUGUGGGGUCCAUUCCACGGGUUCCGUGCCGUAGCUAACGCUUUAAGUACCCCGCCUGGGGAGUACGGCCGCAAGGCUAAAACUCAAAGGAAUUGACGGGGCCCCGCACAAGCGGCGGAGCAUGCGGAUUAAUUCGAUGCAACGCGUAGAACCUUACCUGGGUUUGACAUGGAUCGGGAGUGCUCAGAGAUGGGUGUGCCUCUUUUGGGGUCGGUUCACAGGUGGUGCAUGGCUGUCGUCAGCUCGUGUCGUGAGAUGUUGGGUUAAGUCCCGCAACGAGCGCAACCCUUGUUCACUGUUGCCAGCACGUUAUGGUGGGGACUCAGUGGAGACCGCCGGGGUCAACUCGGAGGAAGGUGGGGAUGACGUCAAGUCAUCAUGCCCCUUAUGUCCAGGGCUUCACGCAUGUUACAAUGGCUGGUACAGAGAGUGGCGAGCCUGUGAGGGUGAGCGAAUCUCGGAAAGCCGGUCUCAGUUCGGAUUGGGGUCUGCAACUCGACCUCAUGAAGUCGGAGUCGCUAGUAAUCGCAGAUCAGCAACGCUGCGGUGAAUACGUUCCCGGGGCUUGUACACACCGCCCGUCAAGUCAUGAAAGUUGGUAACACCCGAAGCCGGUGGCCUAACCGUUGUGGGGGAGCCGUCGAAGGUGGGACUGGUGAUUAGG
rnacentral:rRNA from 1 species